CUUUGUAGGAAUGGGAUACUCCGGGAAAAACUUGGCCAAAAUUUCAACGACAUCGCCGCGGUGAAGCACGCUCUCGGCACAGAGGUAGCGGCCGGAGGCAGAGGGAGCUUCGAAAACGAGGAUGUGGGCGAGGGCUACGUCCUUAACGUGGACAUAGGCUUGAACGGAGUUUGCAUAUGUUUUGGCGGAGCCGGUGAGGUACUUGAGGAUGUGAAUAAUGCUGGCAUUAACAGUGGAUUGAAGCAAUGGUCCUAGCACCAGCACUGGGUUCACCACCACAAGGUCCACCUCUUUCUCCUUCGCAACCUCCCAUGCCGCCUGCUCCGCCACCGCCUUUCCGUAAC
rnacentral:lncRNA from 1 species